GAACGAACGCUGGCGGCAUGCCUAACCCAUGCAAGUCGAACGAAGGCUUCGGCCUUAGUGGCGCACGGGUGCGUAACGCGUGGGAAUCUGCCCUUUGGUUCGGAAUAACAGCUGGAAACGGCUGCUAAUACCGGACGAUGACGAAAGUCCAAAGGUUUAUCGCCCGAGGAUGAGCCCGCGUUGGAUUAGGUAGUUGGUGGGGUAAAGGCCUACCAAGCCGACGAUCCAUAGCUGGUCUGAGAGGAUGAUCAGCCACACUGGGACUGAGACACGGCCCAGACUCCUACGGGAGGCAGCAGUGGGGAAUAUUGGACAAUGGGCGCAAGCCUGAUCCAGCAAUGCCGCGUGAGUGAUGAAGGCCCUAGGGUUGUAAAGCUCUUUUACCCGGGAAGAUAAUGACGGUACCGGGAGAAUAAGCCCCGGCUAACUCCGUG
rnacentral:rRNA from 1 species